rnacentral:sRNA from 1 species
CGUGGGUGACAUGGUGACCUGCCCGCAAACCGGACAUGGCACCAAUCCCAUCAUCGAAGGUUCGCCGACAU